rnacentral:misc_RNA from 1 species
GAUGAAGAACGUAGCAAAAUGCGAUAAGUAAUGUGAAUUGCAGAAUUCAGUGAAUCAUCGAAUCUUUGAACGCACAUUGCGCCCGCCAGUAUUCUGGCGGGCAUGCCUGUUCGAGCGUCAUUUCAACCCUCAAGCCCUCGGGUUUGGUGUUGGGGAUCGGCGUGCCUUUCUGGCAAGCCGGCCCCGAAAUCUAGUGGCGGUCUCGCUGCAGCCUCCAUUGCGUAGUAGUAAAACCCUCGCAACUGGAACGCGGCGCGGCCAAGCCGUUAAACCCCCAACUUCUGAAUGUUGACCUCGGAUCAGGUAGGAAUACCCGCUGAACUUAAGCAUAUCAAUAAGCGGAGGA